UAAUAGUCCUGCAUACUUAUGCCAUGAAAACGUAGAAUUUAAGGAUAAGGUAGGGUAAAUUUUACUCCAUUACAAUAUAGAUUUAAAUUUUAUAGCUCAUGGUAGAGUAGCUUAUUUAUC